UAACCAAGGAGAGAGGAAACUGUA
rnacentral:piRNA from 1 species